GGGAAAAAGCAGUAGGCUAGCAAUUAAGUAUGUCAGAAACCUCAGUAAUCAUUAAUGAGUAGUCGAGGAGUUCCCGGAUGGCCUACUACUUCCGCCCAGAUUCUGAAGUGUUUCUCGAUAGAUACUUUUCUAUCCCAGGAGGCCACGGGAGAGGAUACGUCAUAAUCAAACACUUAGGAGAAAAGCGGCGCGGAUGCUGUCAAAUGGACAGAUGACGGGGACAGAUGAUCACACGUGUUUAUCCGGUAGAGGAAUGAUGCCAUCAAAGGCUUUGAAGCUUUGUGGAGCAGGACCUGCAAGAAAAGGUGAUGGUGGCAUUUGUUAGAAAAAAAAAAGAGGAAAACCUGAAACAAAAUAUAAAGAUGUGAAUGUCCUCAGACUGGUGAGAGCACUGAGGAUGGAGAGCCACACCAGAUCCUGGGAAUGGUCCAGUGUCAUGGACGAGAUCCUCCAUCACUCCUCCUUCCAAGUGUCUUGAUCAAGGACACACUGGAGGAGACGCUGCAGAGAUCGAACCAGCAAACCUUCUGCUGACCAGCUCAGUGGUUUAGCCCACCACACCACAAAUUCAUGCUGAUGGAGAACACAUGAAUGUUUGCAGCAGCCAGAUUGUCCCACUCAUCUUCUCCCACUCUUGCUUCAAGGUUGAGGGGUUCAGCGGUCCAUCAUCAUCAUCUUCCUCAUCCUCUGGAUCAACGAUGUCUCCAUUGAGAAGAGCAGCAGUGAGGGACAUGAUGAUGAAGGUGUUCAUCAGCUGCUUAUAUAAUAAAGCUGCAGAAUUGGCACAGCUGUGUUGAGAUGGCAGCAGGACUGUAAAUACCUGAUUGUUAGAUCAAUACAUUUGAAUAAAGUUU